rnacentral:tRNA from 5 species
UCAUAUAGCUCAGUUGGUUAGAGCGUCUGCCUGUCACGCAGAAGGUUGCGGGUUCGAGUCCCGUCACUCUAUGCC